UACGUAGGGUGCAAGCGUUAAUCGGAAUUACUGGGCGUAAAGCGUGCGCAGGCGGUUAUGUAAGACAGGUGUGAAAUCCCCGGGCUUAACCUGGGAACUGCAUUUGUGACUGCAUAGCUAGAGUACGGUAGAGGGGGAUGGAAUUCCGCGUGUAGCAGUGAAAUGCGUAGAUAUGCGGAGGAACACCGAUGGCGAAGGCAAUCCCCUGGACCUGUACUGACGCUCGUGCACGAAAGCGUGGGGAGCAAACAGG
rnacentral:rRNA from 1 species